rnacentral:rRNA from 1 species
AAUCAACGCUGGCGGCGUGCCUCAGACAUGCAAGUCGAACGCGAAAUUUCCCUUCGGGAGAAAGUAGAGUGGCGCACGGGUGAGUAACACGUAGGUAAUUUGCCUUUGGGUGGGGAAUAACUCAGGGAAACUUGAGCUAAUACCGCAUAAUGCAGCGGCUCGACAUCGAGACAGUUGUUAAAGCGGGGGAUUGGAGCAAUCCGACCUCGCGCCUAAAGAGAAGCCUGCGGCAGAUUAGCUAGUUGGUAAGGUAAUGGCUUACCAAGGCGACGAUCUGUAACCGGCCUGAGAGGGCGGUCGGUCACACUGACACUGACAUACGGGUCAGACUCCUACGGGAGGCAGCAGUCGGGAAUUUUGGGCAAUGGGCGCAAGCCUGACCCAGCAACGCCGCGUGAAGGAUGAAAUUUUCGGUAAUGUAAACUUCGCAAGAACAGGAAGAAUAAGUGUGGGACGAUACCCACAUGAUGACGGUACUGUUUGUAAG